UCCAAUCUACGGAGGCAGCUAGUCAACCACCAUGGCGCCCCCAUUACCGCAUCCCAGCACCGCGCCGCCCCCCACCAUCGCGCCGCCCGCAACACCUCGCCGCCGAGCCACCCAACACAUCCCACCCCCUACCCACACCGACCACAACAGCAAUGGGAUCUCCAUUCCCUUCUAUCGCCCUGCGGCGCCGCACGAACAUAGCGCGGCAUGGUGCCCUACGCAGCUCCCCAGCCUGUAUGUCCUAUCUUAUCGAUGAAGCAGCUCCUGCGGGGGAUUAAACAAAUGUCCAGUCGACGUCACCACCAAGACAACCAAGAUUCCCCCGCAGACGCGGGAAGAUACCACCGGCAGCAAGAUUAUAUCCCAUCAUCUUUGGCCUCCUGGACAGUGGACGCCACUGGUGCAGAUUCAGACUACUUUUUUCCAAGUUAUGCUUCCUGUAAGCCCACAUGUUCUACUAGCGGAAAGGUGCAGAUCUCUAAUUCGUGUUUUAUUUUCGAAUUAUGCUUAGCCCACAUGUUCUACUAUCUCGAUGCACUUAUUGUGGAGUAGCAGUAUAAUUUGGAGGAUUGGAAUAUCACCCUGAUUUUCUAAUUGCCCGUAUUAAAACUCAUAUUUUCAUGUCCAGUGAUGAUCAGAAGCUGCUCGAUAAAAUGCCCCUUUGGUUUCAAGUUUCUUUAUUGUCAUUUUACUCUUGACGAAAUGACAUUUGUGAAACAUAACCUAUGGUAUUAUUUUUUCAUUCAGCUCCAGACAUUUGAUACUUGCCAUCUAAUUUUAAAUUUCAUUUUGAUUAUCGUAAUGAACUACUUCCUCUAAUCCCUUUUAAUUGACUUGGAUUUAGUUAAACUUCCUUUUAAUUAACUCGGAUUUAGUGGGAUCGGACGGAGUAGAAAAUUCAUAAUUAAAGAGUAUAUGGACUCCGUAUGUAGAAUGUUAUCUCCACUUAUACAUGAACCUUCCCGGCUUAGAGUCGGGAAACUUUUAUAUGAUCUAAACCAUGGUUUGAUGACUAUAAUUUGCAAGAAAUUUCAUUUGGCAUUGCAUAAUGUCCAUUGCUACUUAAGCAACUAAAUUUAGCAUUUAAAAUUGCAGAGUAAAUUAUUUCAGUUAUAUCUAUGUACUACGGAUAGUGUAGGUGGAGCAUAAUUUCAAUUGACAAGUAAGAACAGUUAAGUAAGCCAUUGUCACGACUUAAUUUAGUACCAUCAACUAGAGUUCUGGUGAUGGACAAACCAAGUACAAAACUGGGUUUGUGAUGAUUGCCAUUUUUUUUAUUUUUGUACUUCUUGCAGGAACUUGUCAACAGAGUUGUCUCUACGUGAAGCCACAAUUCUUAAAAGGGUAAAGGCACAGUUAUAAUAGCAUGAAGUUAUAAUAGCAUGCAGUUUGUUCAAAUGCUUAGACCUCACAUAAUGAUUUUAUAUACCCAUAUGGUAAAUAUUUCUUCUUAGUAGAUAAAUAUAUUUUGAACCGGUUUGGGUUGUCACCUCCGGAAAGUACACCUUUUCACCCCGUCGGUUGUAGUCAUGCCAGAGUUAUAAAACAUAAGUGCAGACUCCAUAUCAUGGGAAGCGCACAUUUCUUAUGCCCGAAGUACACAAAAAAACUUCAUUCUUUUAAGUCUUGGCAACUACGGAGAUGACUUCUAGUUCCUGACCUUUAGGAAACGAGCUCAAUUAUUCCAUCAUAAUUCACAAGAUCUCCAGUGUUGCACUCUUCUGGUAGUUUGCCAUGGAGAUGUCGAUACUUCCUUUGUUUUUUCUAUAUAAUGCAUACCUAUGCAGAACACUACCAACUUUCCAUUUCUGCAGAUUAUCCUCCAUCCAGAUGGGAGUGGAAUUAGGAAAUGUAAAUUUUGAUAUGUCUCCAUCAGGUGGAGGGACUAACGUAUACGCGAGUACUGAUGAUCCGGGAGAACAAUUCUUGCUAUGGAUUACCAACACUAUGGUGCUUUGGUGUUGGCUCUUGUGAUGAUUAGCAGAGGAAUCAAGUCUGUUUUUGGUUUCAGCGUAGACAUUUUUAUUCUGGCAUUUUGGAUUAGUUAUGAAGUUCUCGAUGUUUUUGCCAUGAGGCGGCCAUAUGAUGUUGUUACAGACGACUAGUUGUUUAGUUGUUUGUGUCUCACUAAUGUAAACGUAAUUUUCAGUAUUUUUAUAUAUUUUGUAACUGAAACGACAGUUUGUA